rnacentral:rRNA from 1 species
AGCGAACGCUGGCGGCAGGCCUAACACAUGCAAGUCGAACGAACUCUUCGGAGUUAGUGGCGGACGGGUGAGUAACACGUGGGAACGUGCCUUUUGGUUCGGACUAACUCAGGGAAACUUGUGCUAAUACCGAAUGUGCCCUUCGGGGGAAAGAUUUAUCGCCAUUAGAGCGGCCCGCGUCUGAUUAGCUAGUUGGUGAGGUAACGGCUCACCAAGGCGACGAUCAGUAGCUGGUCUGAGAGGAUGACCAGCCACACUGGGACUGAGACACGGCCCAGACUCCUACGGGAGGCAGCAGUGGGGAAUCGUGCGCAAUGGGCGAAAGCCUGACGCAGCCAUGCCGCGUGAAUGAUGAAGGUCUUAGGAUUGUAAAAUUCUUUCACCGGGGACGAUAAUGACGGUACCCGGAGAAGAAGCCCCGGCUAACUUCGUG